rnacentral:tRNA from 1 species
GGAGAAGUAGUUCAGUGGUAGAACACUAGCCUGGAAUGUGGUAAGCCCUAGGUUAGAUCCUUAGCUCCA